GGUAGGACCACUACCAGGGAGCCCUGCCAUUCCCUCCAAUCUGUCAACUACGUGCCUUAUUGCCCCAUAAUUGGAGUUGUAUUGAACGAGUAUUGCGAAGAUAAAUUGACAUGUUGAUAAAAAAUAAGAACAAACCACAAAAAAAGGAGUUACAAGUGAAGCAACUCUUGAGUUUGAGGCUAUUUUUUCGAAGUUGUUAAAUGGCGGGCUGACAGGGGCUAUUUGUACGUACUAUUUGUGGGCUAAUUUUUGAUCGCACUGAAAAUUUCAUUUUUAUACCCAAAGUAACAACUGCAGAUAUGUCGGGGAAAUUGUAAAUGGAGAAUCUGCGGCCCGGGCCCAUUAAAAACCAUGACCGCGCUCGUAAAUUCCGAGCGAAACACUCUGUGGGGCGGCAGAACUGAAAUUACCAAAUAAAUCGCUCUGUCUUUAUGGUUGCCUGUUAGGAAUUUGUUAGAAUAUUACAUAAAAUUAACUAUAAGACAGUCCCAGUGAAAAAUUGUUUUUUUUAAUAAAUAUUAUUUUCAUAAGAAGAGUGGCUUAUUCAUGUUAAAACGUAAAAGUUUUAGAGGUUCUGGGAAUAAAAAAACAAAUUAUAAUUGGAUGGUAAUUGGAUAUUAAUGAAGAUCGUAAAACUACAAGAUACAGUACUUACUAUUAUUAGUUAUAAUACUUACUACUACUAGUAUAGAAUGUUGGUUCUGAAAACUAAAAUCUCCAGUCUAUCUCUGGCCUAUAAAUUGAAAUAUCAAAUAGGCAUGUGCCAGGCGAAUUUCAAUCAAAUAAAUAUUGAGCUAAAAUUUUUGGGAAAAAUUUCCUAAACAAAACUGACCCGUUCGAUGCAAUUUCCAUUUCAAAUGCCCAGAAGUUUCACUUUCCCUCACUUGGGGUGCAUGUGGUUUCUGCAACCGGGGGGACCGGACAGCCACCCCACGUGCCCACCCUUGGCACAUUUGUUUGUGAACCGGUGUGUUUGUUGAAAUUCAAAUGCCCAGGCAGACACAUACACAUACUCUGUACAUAUGUGUACAUUUAAAUAUAAACACUUGGAUAUGAAUAAGCAAUGCAACGGAAACUAAUUCAAGUUCAAGCCGUCAAUGUUCGUUUUGUUAUGCAUAUUAUGCAAUAUGUUUCCCUAGUUCCCCUCCCCCGUAUUGGGCUGGAAAUGCAAACAUACUCAUAUGCCGUGUAUCUAGUGUAAGGCAUGUGCCUCCAUUCGCCGGGGGUUCAAUAGCCGAUUGAAGGUUACACUUGCAUAGCCGAGAUGCAGAUGAAAAAAUGAAUAUUACAAAAUCUAGACAACAAUUUUUCAUUUCCAGGUUUAUAUCUGGCAGAGAUGCAUAAAAAGUAUUUAAACGGAAACGAUUUAAACUAAA